CUGUGCGGCGUGUCAAACAUUUGUUUGUUGUUUGCGAGUGAAAAUUUAUGAAGAAAUGUGGAAAAUACGAGCCACAAAGUAUUUGAGAUGUGCUCUCUCCCGUGAUAUCAGUGUUGAGGGCGUGUUUGGUGUGACACGGAAGGAUUUUCAACCCUCACUUGGAGAAACAGCAGCAGCAAAUUGAAGAAAUACUCUGCCACUCUACACCAGAGAUGAUGUCUCUGGUGGGAGGGAUGUGAGGAGUCAAGGAUCUCCAGAAUCCGAGAAAUCUUGUGAGGAAACUUCUGCAGUUUUAAGGCAUCUCAUCUUCUCCAAGAACCCUGCCACACUGCGCUAAAGAUGUGCUGGAACGAGGAUGUAUCCGGAGGAUCUUGAGAGAUCAGAUGGCAAGGGAUCUUCUGUGGCUUUGGCAUCCCAUCAGGACAUUUUCUUCAAAUACCUGGACUGCAGGAUCCUGGGAAAAUAUCAAUUGUGAUAAACAAGAAAGCGGAACCAGAAGUGACAACGAAUUGCAGUACAAAAAAACAACGAAUAAAAAAUUAUGUUCUUGAAAUUUUAUUUAUUUAAAUAAAUUUUUCAACUUA